AACGAACGCUGGCGGCAUGCCUAACACAUGCAAGUCGAACGAGACCUUCGGGUCUAGUGGCGCACGGGUGCGUAACGCGUGGGAACCUGCCCUUAGGUUCGGAAUAACUCCCCGAAAGGGGUGCUAAUACCGGAUAAUGUCUUCGGACCAAAGAUUUAUCGCCUUUGGAUGGGCCCGUGUUGGAUUAGCUAGUUGGUAGGGUAAAAGCCUACCAAGGCGACGAUCCAUAGCUGGUCUGAGAGGAUGAUCAGCCACACUGGGACUGAGACACGGCCCAGACGCGUACGGGAGGCAGCAGUAGGGAAUCUUCAGCAAUGGGCGAAAGCGUGACGGAGCAACGCCGCGUGAGUGAUGAAGGUCUUCGGAUCGUAAAACACUGUUAUUAGGGAAGAACAAAUGUGUCAGUAACUAUGCACGUAUUGACGGGACCUAAUCAGAAAGCCACGGCUAACUACGUG
rnacentral:rRNA from 1 species